rfam:Clostridium sp. CAG:571 genomic scaffold, scf2
UUUUAGUUUUAAGCGCCAGGACAAUGUUAAUAUUGUUGACGAGGUUUAGAGUUUAUCGAAAUAUUCGGCGGAUGACUCUAUGGCAUAUAGUUACUGUCAUUAUAUAUUAGUUAAAACCUAAUAGUAAUAUUAGAACAAAGCUAAUAUUAGUAACGUUU